GCCAGCAUGGUGUAGUGGUUUGAGUGAUAGACUAUGGCCUUGGAGACUAGGGUUCGAUUCCCUGCUCAGCCA